UGGUGUUUGGUGGUAGUUGUA
rnacentral:siRNA from 1 species